GGAUGCGAUCAUACCAGCACUAAAGCACCGGAUCCCAUCAGAACUCCGAAGCUAAGCGUGCUUGGGCGAGAGUAGUACUAGGAUGGGUGACCUCCUGGGAAGUCCUCGUGUUGCAUUCCC
rnacentral:rRNA from 1 species